UACGGAGGGGGCUAGCGUUGUUCGGAAUUACUGGGCGUAAAGCGUACGUAGGCGGCUUUUUAAGUCAGGGGUGAAAUCCCGGUGCUCAACACCGGAACUGCCCUUGAGACUGGAUCGCUUGAUCACGGGAGAGGUGAGUGGAAUUCCGAGUGUAGAGGUGAAAUUCGUAGAUAUUCGGAAGAACACCAGUGGCGAAGGCGGCUCACUGGACCGUUGAUGACGCUGAGGUACGAAAGCGUGGGGAGCAAACAGG
rnacentral:rRNA from 1 species